GAUGAACGCUGGCGGCGUGCCUAAUACAUGCAAGUCGAGCGAACAGACGAGGAGCUUGCUCCUCUGACGUUAGCGGCGGACGGGUGAGUAACACGUGGAUAACCUACCUAUAAGACUGGGAUAACUUCGGGAAACCGGAGCUAAUACCGGAUAAUAUAUUGAACCGCAUGGUUCAAUAGUGAAAGACGGUUUUGCUGUCACUUAUAGAUGGAUCCGCGCCGCAUUAGCUAGUUGGUAAGGUAACGGCUUACCAAGGCAACGAUGCGUAGCCGACCUGAGAGGGUGAUCGGCCACACUGGAACUGAGACACGGUCAAGACUCCUACGGGAGGCAGCAGUAGGGAAUCUUCCGCAAUGGGCGAAAGCUUGACGGAGCAACGCCGCGGGAGGGAUGAAGGUCUUCGGAUCGUAAAACUCUGUUAUGAGGGAAGAACAAAUGUGUAAGUAACUAUGCACGUCUUGACGGUACCUAAUCAGAAAGCCACGGCUAACUACGUG
rnacentral:rRNA from 1 species